rnacentral:rRNA from 1 species
GGGCAUCACCGGGUGUGGAGCCUGCGGCUUAAUUUGACUCAACACGGGAAAACUUACCAGGUCAGGACAUAGUGAGGAUUGACAGAUUGAGAGCUCUUUCUUGAUUCUAUGGUUGGUGGUGCAUGGCCGUUCUUAGUUGGUGGAGUGAUCUGUCUGGUUAAUUCCGUUAACGAGCGAGACCUGGGCGUGCUAGCUAGGCGCCGUUACUAUUUUUGGUAGCGAGGCUUGCCUUCCUAGACGGACUGUGGGCGUCUAGCCCACGGAAGCUCCAGGCAAUAACAGGUCUGAGAUGCCCUUAGAUGUCCUGGGCCGCACGCGUGCUACACUGAACGGGUCAACGAGUUAGGAUAUGCGAAAGCAUUUCCCAAUCUCUAAAUCCGUUCGUGAUGGGGAUCGACGGUUGCAAUUUUCCGUCGUCAACGAGGAAUACCUUGUAAGCGCGGGUCAUCAUCCCGCGCUGAAUACGUCCCUGCCCUUUGUACACACCGCCCGUC